ensembl:lncRNA
CGUGAUGACGUAAUUCCCUGUCCGUUUGUUGAUCAGCUCAAUCCGAACUAUUGAAGGUUGGGACCAACAUGGUUGAAUAUUUAAACCAUGAGAUGACUGGAGCAUUGCUGCACAUUCUAUGCCUCAGUGAUGAGACAAGGGGGACAUCACAGACCUUUGCCAUUAUUCCAGGCCACGCCAUUGAGACUGUGUCUUUGUUGGAGGCGGUUGAUCUUUGCUUUAAAGCUUUUUUUGUUUUUGAUGUUCAGUACACCAAGCAGUGUCUCCCCACCUGGGAGUUUCUCCAGCAUGCUGUAUAUCAAAUUGAAGGAAAAGAGUCCUCCUCUGUAAAGUUUUUGAGGACAACAGUGGUUUCAGGCCCACAUGAUAUGUAGAUGAUUUUAAAAUGUAUUUUGUUGCUGUUCUUAAAUCAACACAUCUUAAUAAAUUAAAUUGUAAUCGUAUGAGAGUUCAAAUUAGUUGUUUAAUGACUUUUAAAGCCUGAAUAUUUGGACAGAUUUACAUUUGUUAUAAAGUCUGUGGGGAAGGGUGAAUGUCAG